rnacentral:rRNA from 1 species
GACGAACGCUGGCGGCGUGCUUAACACAUGCAAGUCGAACGAAGAGCGAUGGAAGCUUGCUUCUAUCAAUCUUAGUGGCGAACGGGUGAGUAACGCGUAAUCAACCUGCCCUUCAGAGGGGGACAACAGUUGGAAACGACUGCUAAUACCGCAUACGAUCUAAUCUCGGCAUCGAGGAUAGAUGAACGGUGGCCUCUACAUGUAAGCUAUCACUGAAGGAGGGGAUUGCGUCUGAUUAGCUAGUUGGAGGGGUAACGGCCCACCAAGGCGAUGAUCAGUAGCCGGUCUGAGAGGAUGAACGGCCACAUUGGGACUGAGACACGGCCCAGACUCCUACGGGAGGCAGCAGUGGGGAAUCUUCCGCAAUGGACGAAAGUCUGACGGAGCAACGCCGCGUGAGCGAUGACGGCCUUCGGGUUGUAAAGCUCUGUUAAUCGGGACGAAAGGCCUUCUUGCGAAUAGUGAGAAGGAUUGACGGUACCGGAAUAGAAAGCCACGGCUAACUACGU